GUGUUUCCAAGAGUGAGUGAUUGUGUUCCUUUGUUGUGUUUUAUGUUGAAAUAGGAGCUUGAGACAAAGGGACGUUACAUCGCUUUGCAUGUUCCUUAUUAGGUCAACUCUUGUCUACUCCACCACCUGCAUAACAUGUCAACCUGUGUCUAAAACUCUACAUGCUUCCAUGUGUGUGUGUGUGUAUGUGUGUGUAUGUAUGUAUGGUUUCCAAUUGGCGGAGGUCGACAGAUUGUAUACUAGGCUCAUUGAGAUGACCAAGGUUGAACAGAUGUCAUACCAUAUGAUUCUAUAAUUACACCCAAUGUAAUCUAUUCAAACGUAGUGUGGCCAACAUGAGAAUCAAGUCCUCCCUCUAGAACUUCAAUUGAUUUCCAU
rnacentral:lncRNA from 1 species